CAAAUUUACUCACCAACAAAAGACAACAAAAAUGGUUCGAAGUUUGAUAUACUGACUUGGUGGAAAAGCAAUGCUGCAAGAUUUGAUAUUCUAUCACUUAUAGCAAGAGAUAUACUUGUUAUUCCCGUCUCUUCAGUUGCAAG